CUCGCCUGCUUCGCCUGGCUGCCGCACGCGCCUGGCGUCUUCGUGUCCGGAGACCGAGACAAGGGCAUCUUGCGCGUCUGGACGGCCGGCAAAAGCACGCCGAUGUUGUCGUACACGUUGAAGGAUACUGGCUUCCACGAGCUCUGUGGCGCAGGAGACACUGCACCUCAGCGAGAGGCUGAUGGGCGUGUGGGGAAGGCGGAGGGUCAGGCCGGACUUGUGGUGCCCUCGGUGUUGGUGUUGUGCCUCUUCCAGGACGGCGGCAUUGGGCUCUAUCAUGUGCGCCGGAAGCA
rnacentral:lncRNA from 1 species